GUUAUCGGGAAUUACCUGGGCGUAAAGCGCACGCAGGCGGUCUGUCAAGUCGGAUGUGAAAUCCCCGGGCUCAACCUGGGAACUGCAUUCGAAACUGGCAGGCUAGAGUCUUGUAGAGGGGGGUAGAAUUCCAGGUGUAGCGGUGAAAUGCGUAGAGAUCUGGAGGAAUACCGGUGGCGAAGGCGGCCCCCUGGACAAAGACUGACGCUCAGGUGCGAAAGCGUGGGGAGCAAACAGGAUUAGAUACCCUGGUAGUCCACGCCGUAAACGAUGUCGACUUGGAGGUUGUGCCCUUGAGGCGUGGCUUCCGGAGCUAACGCGUUAAGUCGACCGCCUGGGGAGUACGGCCGCAAGGUUAAAACUCAAAUGAAUUGACGGGGGCCCGCACAAGCGGUGGAGCAUGUGGUUUAAUUCGAUGCAACGCGAAGAACCUUACCUACUCUUGACAUCCAGAGAACUUUCCAGAGAUGCAUUGGUGCCUUCGGGAACUCUGAGACAGGUGCUGCAUGGCUGUCGUCAGCUCGUGUUGUGAAAUGUUGGGUUAAGUCCCGCAACGAGCGCAACCCUUAUCCUUUGUUGCCAGCGGUUAGGCCGGGAACUCAAAGGAGACUGCCAGUGAUAAACUGGAGGAAGGUGGGGGAUGACGUCAAGUCAUCAUGGCCCUUACGAGUAGGGCUACACACGUGCUACAAUGGCGCAUACAAAGAGAAGCGACCUCGCGAGAGCAAGCGGACCUCAUAAAGUGCGUCGUAAUCCGGAAUUGGAGUCUGCAACUCGACUCCAUGAAGUCGGAAUCGCUAGUAAUCGUGGAUCAGAAUGCCACGGUGAAUACGUUCCCGGGGCCUUGUACACACCGCCCGUCCACCAUGGGGAGUGGGUUGCAAAAAGAAGUAGGUAGCUUAACCUUCCGGGAGGGCGCUUACCACUUUGUGAUCAUGACUGGG
rnacentral:rRNA from 1 species